rnacentral:rRNA from 1 species
GUGGGGAAUAUUCCGCAAUGGACGAAAGUCUGACGGAGCAACGCCGCGUGAGUGAUGAAGGUUUUCGGACUGUAAAGCUCUGUUGUUUAGGACGAAAGUGCCUGUUGCAAAUAGUUACAGGUAUUGACGGUACUGAACGAGGAAGCCACGGCUAACUACGUGCCAGCAGCCGCGGUAAUACGUAGGUGGCAAGCGUUGUCCGGAAUUAUUGGGCGUAAAGAGCAUGUAGGCGGGAAUCUAAGUCUGUUGUUAAAAUGCGGGGCUCAACCCCGUAUUGCGAUGGAAACUGGGUUUCUUGAGUGCAGGAGAGGAAAGGGGAAUUCCCAGUGUAGCGGUGAAAUGCGUAGAUAUUGGGAGGAACACCAGUGGCGAAGGCGCCUUUCUGGACUGUGUCUGACGCUGAGAUGCGAAAGCCAGGGUAGCGAACGGGAUUAGAAACCCGAGUAGUCC